rnacentral:rRNA from 1 species
UGCAGUCGACGCACUCGACCUUCGGGUCACAUGAGUGAGUGGCGAACGGGUGAGUAACACGUGAGAAACCUGUCCCGAAGACUGGAAUAACCCGAGGAAACUCGGACUAAUACCGGAUGCCCCCACCGGAUCACAUGAUCUGGUGAGGAAAUGCUCCGGCGCUUCGGGAGGGUCUCGCGGCCUAUCAGUUAGUUGGUGAGGUAACGGCUCACCAAGGCAUCGACGGGUAGCUGGUCUGAGAGGACGAUCAGCCACACUGGGACUGAGACACGGCCCAGACUCCUACGGGAGGCAGCAGUGGGGAAUCUUGCGCAAUGGGCGAAAGCCUGACGCAGCCACGCCGCGUGAGGGAUGAAGGCUUUCGGGUUGUAAACCUCUUUCAGCAGGGACGAAAAUGACGGUACCUGCAGAAGAAGCUCCGGCCAACUACGUGCCAGCAGCCGCGGUAACACGUAGGGAGCAAGCGUUGUCCGGAUUUAUUGGGCGUAAAGAGCUCGUAGGCGGUUCGGUAAGUCGGGUGUGAAAACUUGAGGCUCAACCUCAAGAGGCCACUCGAUACUGCUGUGACUGGAGUCCGGUAGAGGAGUGUGGAAUUCCUGGUGUAGCGGUGAAAUGCGCAGAUAUCAGGAGGAACACCGACAGCGAAGGCAGCACUCUGGGCCGGUACUGACGCUGAGGAGCGAAAGCAUGGGGAGCGAACAGGAUUAGAUACCCUGGUAGUCCAUGCCGUAAACGUUGGGCACUAGGUGUGGGGUCUAGCUAACAGAUUCCGUGCCGCAGCUAACGCAUUAAGUGCCCCGCCUGGGGAGUACGGCCGCAAGGNUAAAACUC